UACGGGGGGGGCAAGCGUUGUUCGGAAUUACUGGGCGUAAAGGGCUCGUAGGCGGUUUGUCGCGUCGGGAGUGAAAACUCAGGGCUUAACCCUGAGCCUGCUUCCGAUACGGGCAGACUAGAGGUAUGCAGGGGAGAACGGAAUUCCUGGUGUAGCGGUGAAAUGCGCAGAUAUCAGGAGGAACACCGGUGGCGAAGGCGGGUCUCUGGGCCGUAACUGACGCUGAGGAGCGAAAGCGUGGGGAGCGAACAGG
rnacentral:rRNA from 1 species